GUGGGAGUGUACCAGAUAGUGGGACUGUACCAUUAGAAACACCUCCAGCUAGUGGUAGUGAAUCACUAGACUUACAAGCAUUAUAAGUGUGUAGGAGUAAAUGUGGACAAAUUCCCCAUCAUCACUUUGAGAUUGAAGGGGAUGUUUUCAUAUGCACUCCUAAUGAUGAUGACAAGCCAUCCUCCAUGGAUGAAGCACUUGCAUCAUCUACAAGCAAAGAGUUGUUAGCUGCCAUGUAAGAUGAG
rnacentral:lncRNA from 1 species